rnacentral:tRNA from 1 species
GCCGGGAUGCUGGAAUGGUAUACAGGGUAGUCUCAAAAACUACUGGUCGCAAGGCCAUGAGGGUUCGACUCCCUCCCCCGGCA